AUCUUAUCAAGAGAGGUUGAGGGACUGGCCCUAUGAAACCCAACAACCAGCAUUUUCAUUUGUUUUCAUUUGAAUGUAUUGGUGUUAAUUCCUGCAGAUUAUUUCUGAUAGAUGAGAU
rnacentral:ncRNA from 2 species